UAUUAAUGACUAAAAAGAAUGGUCACCAGCCUAGUGACAGAAAAUACUGGUCACUGCUCUGUGAAAGGCUUAGAGACCAAAAAAGAGUUGUCACUGAAUUGCCUCACACGUGGACACAUAGCCAUCCUCUCUUUAGUAUGCAACGACUAGAAUUACAAAAUAUAAUAUUGAAAGGGCCAAUUGUGCCAUUUUAGUAUGAUGAAGGCCCAUAAAAAAUAAUCUCCUUUUAAACAUCUCACAUCUCACCAUCAUCAUAAAAAACCCUCGUUUUUAAACACUCUCUCUCUCUCUCUCUCAGCAAAAAUGCCAACAAGAAUCACCGUUCUGAUUCUAUGCAUCUUUGCGGUGGUGAUGUACCCAUGAUUCGUCGAGUCAAUGAUACUGAACAUGGCAGAUUGCCUGUCGUACGUGACGAUCGGAAGCACGGUGAAGAAGCCAGAAGGAACAUGUUGCUCGGGGAUUAAAUCGAUGUUGAGAACAGACGCACUGUGUUUGUGUGAAGCGUUCAGAAAACAGUGCGCAAUUGGGUACAUCGUUGAAUGCCACCAAGCCCUAGCUUUGCCUGUUGCUUGCGAUAUCAAAGCCUAGCUUUGCCUGCUGCUUGCGAUAUCAACGCUCCAUUUGUUACUAACUUUGGAAUUAAGCCUAUCUAGCUAGUAUCUCCGUUUGUCUCUCGUUAAUCACUUACUUUCUUCAGGCUGCUAAACGUGCAGGGUGGUUAUCAAGUGAUGAGAGCAAAUGCCAAAAAACAUGUCAUGUAGGGUUUGGUCUUGUUGUUGAUAAUGGAAAGAAAUUUAGCAUUCAAGUGAUUAAGUUGGUUGAUUUGCUUGAUGAAGCUAAGACUCAGUGUAAGGCUGCUCUUGUGGAGAUAGGUAUAUAACAAACUUUCUAGGACUAUUUUUUAUGAUGAAAGGGGCAUACAUGUCUUCUAGUUAAAUAGCUUCUCUUAAAUGAAAGUAGGCUGCUAUAAGAAGAAAAGUACGUUGCUAUUCCUUACAUUGAACCCUUUUAAGCUAAUUGCAAGAAAUAAAAUUUACUUGGUAAUAGUACUUGUUGUCUGUCUUUGGAAUUUGUUGAAUUCUUUCAUCAUAUGACUUGUAUUUCUGUUUUCAUGUAACAUGUUGAUUUUUAGUCAAGAGCCUAAUGAUUUUCUAUAUAUGUUUUCUUUACCACUGGCCUUAAGUUACAUUCAAUCUGACACUAAAAUACCCAACAACAAAGUGAUUGUUGAUCUUUCUAAAAAAAGGUAAAACUUCCUAAGAAAUCAAAAGCCAAAAUAUGUAUUUUUUUAAAGUUCAAGACUCUACUUGAUAUCUUAUAACAUUAAAGAUCCAAUCGAGUAGAAAUUUUUUUUUUCAAUAGAUUUAAAUAAGUCAUUAAAUCAAUUUGGUGGAAGUUUUUUUUUUUUUUUUUUUUUUUUUUGUAAUUUAUGCUUCUAAAUUGGUUUUUGAAUUUUCUUGCUUUAAACCAAUAUACAAUAUGUUGCAGACCUAUGGUAUUGACUCAAAGCGAUAAUUUGUUGCAAAAUUUGGUAAAAAAUGACUUUUUUGUUUUAUGAAUUUGUUUACUUUCUGUUGACUGCUGGGCUUUAAUCAGGGGAAGUUAUGUCAUUUUUACUACAUUGUUCACAUAAGUUACUGCCCUUCAAAGAAUUCUGAAAGAAGUUGCAAGCUCUGAACUGGCGAGUGGUGUUGUUAAUGCUGCACAUGAUAACCGAAUGAUUUCAUUCCUUUAAUUGAAUGGUAAGGCCGGAAUGGCAAGAAUAGGCUUAAAGAUUUCAAAUAUUCUUUUAUAUCUCUAGCUGAAUAUCUUCCCAAUUUAGACGAGAUGCUUAAAUCACAGGUCUGAACUUAGCAGUGAGAAGCAGGCCACCAGCAGAUCCAGCACCGCCAACUCCAAGAAUCAUAGCUUAAUGCUUUUGGUAAUCAAGUUGCUAGAACAUUUAACUGUUGUCUUACUGAAGAUACUAAAGAGGUGGCAGUCUGCAAAAAUAUUUAUAAAUCUUGUAUAGAUAAUGUGAUUGGUUUCUCAUUGUUUAGGUUCUUAUUUAAAACUACUGAUUUGACAGAUAUUCAAUAUGAUGUGCUUUUGCAAUCAAAUUGAACUGUGUGAGUUCGUUUAAGUUUGAGAACAUUUAUGUUUACCAUUUGAUGAGAUAUAUAUCGAUAAACGAAUUAUAGUAUAUCUUACCAUUGACUAAGUAAGUUCCAUGCCAGUUACCUAAAUGAGUUAAAUACAAAGAAAUAGCAAUCAAAAUUAGUGACGGCUUUUUAUGGUCAUAAAUUGGAUAAAACAGUGACCAUUUUUUAUGGUCACUAAUUGGGUAAAUCAGUGACCACCUUUUAUGGUCACUAAUUUGACAAAACGGUGACCACUUUUUAUGGUAACUAAUUUGACAAAAUAGUGACCACUUUUUGUGGUCACUAAUUAGAUAAAACAGUGACGACUUUUAUUUAUUAGUGACAACAUUUAGUGACCACACGGAUCGUCACAGAUUUAGUGACCAACAUAUUUUGGUCACUAUUUAGUGACCGCUUUUUUGUUGUAGUCACUAAUCAAUUUUUGUGACGGACCUAUAGUGACGAAAAGUGACGACCAAAAGUUUGGUCACUAAAUCAUUUAGUGACGACUCCUUCUAUUGUUAGUGACCAUUUCGUUUUCGUCACUAAUUG